rnacentral:rRNA from 1 species
UACGUAGGGUGCGAGCGUUAAUCGGAAUUACUGGGCGUAAAGCGUGCGCAGGCGGUUUUGUAAGCCAGAUGUGAAAUCCCCGGGCUUAACCUGGGAAUGGCAUUUGGGACUGCAAGGCUUGAGUGCGGCAGAGGAGACUGGAACUCCUGGUGUAGCAGUGAAAUGCGUAGAUAUCAGGAGGAACACCGAUGGCGAAGGCAGGUCUCUGGGCUAACACUGACGCUCAUGCACGAAAGCGUGGGGAGCAAACAGG